CGGUUAACCCGACUAAAGUUCUAGAUAGAAUAUUGAUUAUGACAAUUUUCUAUCUAUAUGUCUUGACCAAAUCUUGUGCCAGCAGUCGCGGCAACACAAGGGAGACUAGUGUUAUUCAUCUUUAAAGGGUUUAAAGGGUACCUAGACAGUAUUUUUAAUCCUAAAAAAAAGGUAAAAAAUACUUGAGUUACAGGCUAUUACUUUUUUUCUUAUUCUAAAACAAAAACAAUCAUUAACAAUAAUGACCUUUUAUUAGUUAAAAAAUUCUUAACUAGUAAAUUAUUAGGGGAUAAUAGAUAAAAAUAAGAAUAUAAAGCUCAUUACCUAUACGUAGAAUUUUACGAAUAGUAAUGUAUAUUAUUGAGAGGAUUUAGAACUAAAGGUGUAGAGAUGAAAUUUUUUGAUACUUUUAGGACUGGUAUCGGCGAAAGCGAACCUCUAUAUUGUAACUGACGUUGAGGGACGAAGGCAUGGGUAGCGAAAAGGAUUAGAUACCCUAAUAGUCCAUGCAGUAAAUUAUGAAUGUCAUAGAUCAAAUUAAGCCAGGUCAAUAAAUGAAAGUGUAAGCAUUCCACCUUGGGAGUAAUGUGGCAACGCAGGAACUGAAAUCAUUAGACCGUUUCUGAUACCAGCAGUGAAGUAUGUUAUUUAAUUCGAUGACCCUCGAAAAACCUUACCACAAUUUGUAUACUAACUAUUUUUAUAUUAGUACAAGUGUUGCACGGCUGUCUUCAGUUAAUGUCGUGAGAUUAGAUUACAUCUUGAAAAUUAACGAAAACCUUUGCUUUAUUUUGUGUAUAAAGUAAUCAUUAAUAAUAUAAUGAUAUAACAAGGGACU
rnacentral:rRNA from 1 species